rnacentral:tRNA from 1 species
UGGAAUAUAGCUCAGUCGGUUAGAGCAUUACCCUUAUAAGGUAGAGGUCUCUGGUUCAAGUCCAGAUAUUCCAA